rnacentral:rRNA from 1 species
UACGGAGGAUCCGAGCGUUAUCCGGAUUUAUUGGGUUUAAAGGGUGCGCAGGCGGGAGAUUAAGUCGGCGGUGAAAUUUUGCAGCUCAACUGUAAAAGUGCCUUCGAAACUGGUUUCCUUGAGUGUAGAUGAAGUAGGCGGAAUUUGUGGUGUAGCGGUGAAAUGCAUAGAUAUCACGAGGAACUCCGAUUGCGCAGGCAGCUUACUAAACCAUAACUGACGCUCAGGCACGAAGGCGUGGGGAUCAAACAGGAUUAGAUACCCCCGUAGUCCCU